UACAGAGGUCCCAAGCGUUGUUCGGAUUCAUUGGGCGUAAAGGGUGCGUAGGUGGCGCUGUAAGUCGGGUGUGAAAUUUCGGAGCUUAACUCCGAAACUGCAUUCGAUACUGGCGUGCUUGAGGACUGGAGAGGAGACUGGAAUUCAUGGUGUAGCAGUGAAAUGCGUAGAUAUCGUAAGGAAGACCAGUGGCGAAGGCGGGUCUCUGGACAGUUCCUGACGCUGAGGCACGAAGGUCAGGGGAGCAAACGGG
rnacentral:rRNA from 1 species